rnacentral:lncRNA from 1 species
GGCAGAGGCUGAGGUAGCCAGCCUUAUGUGUGUGUGUACAAAUGGUACCGUGUUGUGCUACAAGCAGUUCCAGCAUAAUGGCUUUGCUCUAGCAAUUCAUCAAGUGUACUUACAUUUGAAGAGCUAGAGAGGACACACAAAUUCAGGUACUACGCAUAACACUACUACGCAUCAAGCAUUCCCCUUCUUCACUAUUUCUGGACUUCGAAAACUGCAAAGAUUGAAGAGUCACUUUUCGGUUUUAAUGUCCCAUGGUACUGCUUGAUUAGCUCAAGCAAGGCUUGAACAUUCUGGUAGGAAUUCUCCCCUGGUUCACAUUGGAGUGAAAAAUAGAAACUUCUGCUUAAUCCCUCACACAUCUCUCGGAUUUAAUCUACUUUACAUUAAUGGGUCUCACCCAUUUUACUUUGUGCUUGAAAUUACUGGAGCACCUGGGUUGUGCUUAGAAGAUACUUUAUUGUUGUUUAUCCAAUAAAGUAGAACCAACCAGCUGUCAUAUAUCCAAAGGGGUUUCUUGUACUGAAGGGAGCUAACAAUACAGUCCUUAACAGGGCAGUACUAUAUCUUGUUGCAUACAGGACUCUCAUCAUUUGCUCCUGGUGCACCCACAGUUGAUUUCCAGGGUUUGGCUUCAGCCCACCUUUCCAACAUUUCUAGGACUACAUGUGAUAAUACCACUACUACCCUGCAUUAGCUCAUCAGGUAACCUACUCAUCUACAAAGACAGAAUCAGUUAGUGACCCAAAACAUAUAGAAAAAAUAAUAUUAUUAUUAUUAAAAAAAACCUACAUUUGCUUGCACAAGUAGUAUGUGAUAAUGCACCUAUUGUUUCAGUCGCUUUCCUUUUUUUCAUAGAACUGCUGUCAUUUACUCUCCAUCUCAGAUAUAUGAUGAGUGGACUGAUCACAUUAAAAAGUCAUACUUACAACCCAUUUUUUUCUGUCUGCUCAGGUUGCCAUUGGAGUUGUGUGGAUGGCACAGUAAGGUGGGGUCCAGAGUAUGAUGAAAGACCUUAAUGGCACUGAUGCCCCCAUUCUCCACCUGUUUUGAAGAUGAUAUUAAAAAUAAAUAAAAUAAUAAAAAUAAUAUAAUGGUCU